CGGUUGUAGCUAAAUAAACGCCAAGAGGUUAAAUUGGCUGUUUGUCAUGAGAUCUUAUGAUUUCCGUUGAUGAAUCCGCCUCCCGAGCUUCUCACUUUU